GUGAGGCUUUAAUAUUCUAUACCAUUUCAAUCAAACAUGACCUGACUUCUGAGGGAAGGAAGCCUCAGUAGGGACAGGAUUCAAAGUUCAUGGAGGUCAAUAGAAAGAUUUCCACUGACUUCCACGGGCUUUGAAUCAGGCCUAAAGUUCUCAGAGCUAAUGUAUCAUUCCAUAUUUAGCAAAUGAGAGCACAAGGCACAGAAUGUGUAUAUAGAAGAGGGGACAAAUAUAUUCUUUGGAUGGAAAGUUCUGAAAUGUGAGGAGCCAGGUAACAGUUUAGAGGAAAGAAUUUCCCUGGCUUCUUCCCUAUAAACAAACCACUGAUUCUCUGUCUAUGUAAUUACCUGCUCCUGUUAGUGUCAGAGUUGUAAAUGAAUGUUUAAGGAUCUGAUUGUUUUUAUUUCAAUGCAGUGUAUAGUUAUUUUGCAAUACAGAGAAAGCUAGUCAAAUUUGCCAAUGUUUGUUUGUAUUUGAAGUCACUGUAUGUUAUUCAGCGGCAUCAGCUAUAGACAUUGCCAGCAUUUCCAUUUUCAGCAACUAUUUUAUGUCAUUUAUAAAAUCUAGCUCUCACCUGAAAUUUGGCUUAGAAGGUCUCUUCCCAAACAGCUGAGAAAUUUUUGGGGUUAUCAUUGGUUAACUUUUUGGUUAGCUUUGGUUUUUUAGGUGAAAAACUGCAGUUUAUGCUUUUGAGGAUUCUAGAAAUAAAAUGAAAAAAAUGACAAUUAUUUCAAUUACCAUGCAUGUGCAUUAACAUUUCUAACAGCUAUCACUAAUUCAAAACUUCAGAUUGAUAUCUGCUUACAAAAUAAACUGGGAAAAAUCAGAACUAUUGGAAAUCUCCUGGUUGGCAGCUAAUGGGGCUUUCUCUCAAUGGAAUUUCCAAAGGCAAAUUGAUGCUUUAUUGUCUGGUCAGGCCUUGCAGCUUUGACAGCUUGUAAAACUGUGUAAUUCCAUCAUUCUAUUGGAGAUCCCAUGAAGCAUGCAGUAUCUGGAAACAUACACUAGCUGGUGCAAAUGAUCGUCCCAAAGAGCACCAAUGGACCAUUGCAGCAGUAUCCACUGCAACCAGAGGAGACGGCUCAAUGAAGCUAAGCAUCAGAUUUGAAAUAGCUACACUCCCUUGAAGUAUGGGUGUGAAUUCCAGCAGGGUUGAGUCAACCCUUUGUUCUUCUGAGAUAAAUUGAGCUCCAUGCUGGAGUAAG